CUCAAAGACCCUUUUCCCAGGCCAGUUUUGCAACUGGCUAGCACUCUCUGCGCCCUUCAAUCUCGAGAAAACUGGGAUAAAACGAUAGAAUCACCGCAAAUUCUUCGAAACCCAGUUCCAUUUCAUCCAUGGCUGACCAUCCUGAUGAUUUACACGAACUUCUUGAUAGUGCUUUGGACGAUUUUCAGAAAUUCGACCUUAAUCCUUCCCUUUCGAGAAGUGGAGAUGGGGCGGAGAGUAGAGCGGUUCUCCCUUCUGGGGUUCAAGGUUUAGGGAUGG
rnacentral:misc_RNA from 1 species